ACCGACGAUAGCAUCUGCUGUCGCUGAUUUAACCAUCACCGACCCAACAUCUCAACUUUUCACCGGAGCAUGUCAAAACCCAGAAAUCGUCGACUAUUUCUAGAUCCUCUCAUUUCCGAUGAUAGAUUGACGUUAAUUCAUCCUCACCGCUGACUGAUUCCGCUGCUACCUUAACCGAUGCAGCUCAGCUCUGCAAUCCCAGGUAAAUUCCGAAACUCCCAUAGCCAUCUCUUUACCAAAAUGUUAUUUCAGUUUCUGUUGCUGUGAUUUGCAAUUACUUCUGAAAUCUUACUGUCUUCCUUUUCAUCUGCAGCUGCUGAAGACACUUUUGAUUUCAAAAACUAAGCAUCGUGAAUUGCAGGUAAAACCCCAAAUUCCUUUGACGCUUCCAAACUUUCAAAUUUGACCACCUGAAAAUUUUGCCAUUUGAGAAGAUCAACCCGUAAUGAAACACUUCUUCUCUGUUACCCUGAAAUGAUGACUUUUACCAAUCUCAUCUCACAUUUUUCAAACUUUACAAUCUGAAAAAACUUUGUCGAUUUCUUAUGUUACCGAUACUGAAUUUUUUUUUUCAAUAUCUUCUGUCUUUGUGAGAUGCCCAAAUCGACAAGAGCAAUCUCAAGACGCUUUUGGAAACAACUACGGAAUUACAUUGAGAAGCACCAGGAACUUCUCAAACGUGUUUCCAGGUAAGCACUUUGUGAGCAUGUCUGCUGGAUUAGCUGUAGUGUGAACCUUUAGGAUCUUGACUGAACCUUCAUCGACUAUAUCUCUGAUAAAAUGAUAUUUGGUAUCAACAUGCUUUGUUCUGUCAUGGUGCACACUGUUCUUUGCUAAACAUAUAGCACUUUGUGAAUUACAAUUGAGUUUAAAACUGUCCUCUUUAAAACCCAAUUCACCACACAAUCCCUUAAGCCACAGACCUUCCUUAGUAGCCUCAGAUAGAGACAUAUAUUUUGCUUUCGUAGUAGAUAAAGCAACUACUUGUUGUAGACAUGAUCUCCAACUGACCGUAUUGCCACCAACUUUGAAAACAUAGCCUGAAACUGACCUUCUCCUGUCUAAGUCUGUAGCAUAAUCUGAAUCACAAAACCCUUCAAUCUCAAAUUUCUCUGAUUUUGUGAAAGUAAGACAUACUCCUGUAGCUCCUUUUAAAUACCUCAAAAUCCACUUAACCGCAGCCCAAUGAGAUCUUCCUGGAUUCGCCAUGAAUCUGCUAACCAAUCCAAUGGCAAAGGCUAGAUCAGGUCUUGAACCGAUCAUAGCAUACAUCAGACUCCCCACUGCACUUGCAUAGGGAACUGAAUCCAUCAAUCUACUCUCUGUUUUUACCUCCUGCUCUGUUAGACUCUUAAGCUUAAACUGCGAAUUACUUGGAGUUACAACAGCCUUGCAAUCCUCCAUGUUAAAAGUUCUUAAAACCUGCUUAAGAUAUCUUUCCUGUGAUAACUUGAGAGUACCUUUCUUUCUGUCCCUGAUGAUAUCCAUACCAAGAAUUCUAGUCGCUGGUCCUAGAUCCUUCAUCUCGAACUUUUUACUUAAGCUUGCCUUCAAGGCUUUGAUCUUUUCCAUAUUCUUUGCUGCCACAAGCAUGUCAUCGACAUAUAGUAAGAGAUAAACCAUAUCAUCAAUACAUGAUCCCUUAGUGUAAACACAUGGAUCCCUAGCGCUCCUUUGAAACUCCAUUGACUUCAUGAAUUCAUCAAACUUCUGAUUCCAUUGUCUAGGUGACUGUUUCAAACCAUAUAGAGAUUUCUUAAGAAGACAGACCUUGUCUUCGUUUCCCUUCUCUAUAAAACCCUCUGGCUGACUCAUGUAAAUGACUUCAUCAAGUGUACCAUGUAAGAAAGCAGUUUUCACGUCUAGUUGCUCCAAUUCCAGAUCAAAAUUAACCACAACUGACAACAUGAUUCUAAUAGAAACAUGCUUAACCACCGGAGCAAAUAUUUCGUUGUAAUCCACUCCUUCAACCUGUGUAAAUCCCUUAGCUACAAGUCUUGCUUUGUAUCUAGGUUCUUCAACACCUGGAAUGCCCUCCUUGUACUUGAAGAUCCACUUACACCCAACUAUUUUCUGCUUUCUCGGCUUAGAGACAAUCUCAAAAGUUUCAUUUUUAUCCAGAGAUUGUUUUUCCUCUUCCAUAGCCUGCUUCCACUUCUUCCAGUCUUUACUUCGUCUAGCUUCUGCGACUGACCUUGGUUCAUUUAACUCUAUGCUUUCAGCGCUAGUUAAAGCAUAAGCUAAAUAAUCAGCAUCCUCAAACCUCGAUGGUGGUUUGAUAGUUCUUCGCUCUAUGUCUCUUGCCAGCAAAUAAUCAUCAAGAGACUCUUCUUCAUCCUGAUUUUCUUGUUCUUCCUCAGAUUCCUGCUCCUCUUCUGAUUCUGAAUGUUCCGAAGUAGCUCCACCUUGACCAGCAGAAUCUGUAUUUCCUGAAACCUCUCCACCUUGACCAGUGGACUCUUGAACCGAACCAUUUGGAGUAGGUCCUUGGAUCAAUCCAGCUUUGAAAGUAACUUUCUUCUUCUUUGUAGAUUUUGUUACUUCAUUCUGAUCUCGGUCCUUAUACAACUUUUCCUCAUCAAAGACUACAUUCCUGCUGUUAGUACAUUUUCCAUCCUCC
rnacentral:lncRNA from 1 species